UACGUAGGUGGCAAGCGUUGUCCGGAAUUAUUGGGCGUAAAGCGCGCGCAGGCGGUCCUUUAAGUCUGAUGUGAAAGCCCACGGCUCAACCGUGGAGGGUCAUUGGGAACUGGGGGACUUGAGUACAGAAGAGAAGAGUGGAAUUCCACGUGUAGCGGUGAAAUGCGUAGAGAUGUGGAGGAACACCAGUGGCGAAGGCGACUCUUUGGUCUGUAACUGACGCUGAGGCGCGAAAGCGUGGGGAGCAAACAGG
rnacentral:rRNA from 1 species